rnacentral:lncRNA from 1 species
GCGCCACCCCCGACCCCGACCCCGUCCCCCAUCACCUCUUUCUCAGCACUGUGUGAUCUUGCCUUUCAGCCUCCUUGUGUCCACAUGGAACUGACAGACAUAGAAGUGUGUCUAGGCAACUUACCUUGAUGGACUUCGUUUCCUCUAGAUCAUUCAGGAAAUACUGAACUCAGAGUGCCAUAAAUUGUGGAAAUAUAAGGGCAAGCGUCUCUGUGAGAACCUGGUGUCAUGCUUCUGAUGAGUAUAAGAAGUAUGAACAAGCAAGAAUGGCCGAGGAAAUGCCGCAGGAGCCAUGGCCAAAGACCUGCCAGACACGCUUGUGUGUAAAGCCGAGCCUGUGAUACUGGCGAAGGUUAGACAGACAGCAGCUUAGGAGAUCAAGACGCGGCUAUACAUCGAAUGAAAAGUAUGUGGCUGGUGCUUCAGGAGCCCCUCCACCUGCAGCCAGGAUCGAGAACCCCACUUCGGAGAAGAUCACCGCUGGAGCUGAGCACAACCGUGUCCUGGCAGAUGCAGACUCCGCCAGCACCCGGAUGGAGGGACAGCCCUGACCCCUGCUCACCCGACUCGCGGGGGCCACUCAGGGCUCCCAGAACGAGGAUACCCAGCACGUCCUGGGUUUCUGUGGCUGGUUGAAGAUGGAGGCUCUGCUUAUACUAACAGAUGAUUCCUUUAGAAAGAAGCUUUAAUGUCUACAGACUCAUAAUCUUGCAGCGAAAUUAACCGACUCCAAUCUGACCACCUUGCCCAACUUCCAGGCGCCGUACAUGACUUCACAAACAUCAGAACACGCUAUGGCACACACUUACAGAUGAUCGCUGGGAAUCGCUUGGUCAGUGAUGCUUGUGAAAAUCAUCGGCAAGCACUCACGUGAACAUUGGGGCUUUCCUGGUGGCUCAGUGGUGAAGCACCCCCUCCAGUGCAGGAGGCGUGGGCUCCAUCCCUGUCCGCCCAAGCGCUGCAGCUGCUGAGCCUGUGACCUAGCGCCCAGGACCUGCAACUACUGAGGCCCGAGUGCCGCAGAGCCUGUUCUCUGCAGCAAGAGAAGCGGCUGCAUUGGGAAGCCCGCGCACCGCAGCUAGAGACACGCUGAGCAGCAACGAAGACCCACAUGCAAAUAAAAAAUAAAAUUAUAUUUAAAAAAAUAGAGCGAACUUUUAAAUGAAACGAUUCCGAG